rnacentral:snRNA from 1 species
CUGAUACAGAGAGGAUUAGCAUGGCCCCUGCGCAAAAGGAUGACAUGCAAAUUCGUGAAGCAUUCCUCUUUUUU